rnacentral:rRNA from 1 species
UCGGGAAUAUUGCGCAAUGGAGGAAACUCUGACGCAGUGACGCCGCGUAUAGGAAGAAGGUUUUCGGAUUGUAAACUAUUGUCGUUAGGGAAGAAAAAAAGACAGUACCUAAGGAGGAAGCUCCGGCUAACUACGUGCCAGCAGCCGCGGUAAUACGUAGGGAGCAAGCGUUAUCCGGAAUUAUUGGGUGUAAAGGGUGCGUAGACGGGAAUCUAAGUUAGUUGUGAAAUCCCUCGGCUUAACUGAGGAACUGCAACUAAAACUGGAUUUCUUGAGUGCAGGAGAGGAAAGUGGAAUUCCUAG